UCCGUAGGGUGCGAGCGUUGUCCGGAAUUAUUGGGCGUAAAGAGCUCGUAGGCGGCCUGUCGCGUCGGAUGUGAAAGCCCGGGGCUUAACCCCGGGUCUGCAUUCGAUACGGGCAGGCUAGAGUUCGGUAGGGGAGACUGGAAUUCCUGGUGUAGCGGUGAAAUGCGCAGAUAUCAGGAGGAACACCGAUGGCGAAGGCAGGUCUCUGGGCCGAUACUGACGCUGAGGAGCGAAAGCGUGGGGAGCGAACAGG
rnacentral:rRNA from 1 species